rnacentral:rRNA from 1 species
CCUACGGGAGACAGCAGUGAGGAAUAUUGGUCAAUGGGCGGGAGCCUGAACCAGCCAAGCCGCGUGAGGGAAGAAGGUACAGCGUAUCGUAAACCUCUUUUGUCAGGGAACAAAGGCGGGGACUAGUCCCCGGAUGAGGGUACCUGAAGAAAAAGCAUCGGCUAACUCCGUGCCAGCAGCCGCGGUAAUACGGAGGAUGCGAGCGUUAUCCGGAUUUAUUGGGUUUAAAGGGUGCGCAGGCGGCCUGUUAAGUCAGCGGUAAAAGCCCGGGGCUCAACCCCGGCGAGCCGUUGAAACUGGCGGGCUGGAGUUGGAGAGAAGUACGCGGAAUUCCUUGUGUAGCGGUGAAAUGCGUAGAUAUAAGGAAGAACACCAGUGGCGAAGGCGGAUGACUGGACGGCAACUGACGGUGAGGCGCGAAAGCGUGGGGAGCAAACAGGAUUAGAUACCCCGGUAGUC